rnacentral:rRNA from 1 species
AGCAGCCGCGGUAAUUCCAGCUCCAAUAGCGUAUAUUAAAGUUGUUGCAGUUAAAAAGCUCGUAGUUGAAUUUCGGGGCCAGUAGGUUGGUCGUGCCACUGGUAUGCACUGGCCUUACUGGUCCCUCCUUCUUGUAGAACCGUGAUGGCAUUAAUUUGUUGUUGCGGGGAAACAGGACUGUUACUUUGAAAAAAUUAGAGUGCUUAAAGCAGGCUCGCGCUUGAAUACAUUAGCAUGGAAUAACGGAAUAGGACGAUCGAACCUAUUUUGUUGGUUUCUAGGAUCGACGUAAUGAUUAAUAGGGAUAGUUGGGGGUAUUAGUAUUCAAUUGUCAGAGGUGAAAUUCUUGGAUUUAUUGAAGACUAACUACUGCGAAAGCAUUUGCCAAGGAUGUUUUCAUUAAUCAAGAACAAAAGUUAGGGGAUCGAAGACGAUCAGAUACCGUCGUAGUCUUAACCAUAAACUAUGCCGACUAGGGAUCGGAUGAAGUUAAUUUUUUAAUGACUCAUUCGGCGCCUUACG